rnacentral:rRNA from 1 species
UACGUAGGGAGCAAGCGUUGUCCGGAUUUACUGGGUGUAAAGGGUGCGUAGGCGGCUCUGCAAGUCAGGCGUGAAAACUAUGGGCUUAACCCAUAGACUGCGUUUGAAACUGUGGGGCUUGAGUGAAGUAGAGGUAGGCGGAAUUCCCGGUGUAGCGGUGAAAUGCGUAGAGAUCGGGAGGAACACCAGUGGCGAAGGCGGCCUACUGGGCUUUAACUGACGCUGAAGCACGAAAGCAUGGGUAGCAAACAGGAUUAGAUACCCUGGUAGUCCAUGCCGUAAACGAUGAUUACUAGGUGUGGGUGGUCUGACCCCAUCCGUGCCGGAGUUAACACAAUAAGUAAUCCACCUGGGGAGUACGGCCGCAAGGUUGAA